rnacentral:pre_miRNA from 1 species
AGUCGGCCGCGGCGAUGCCGGGAGGGACCGAGGAGGCUGGGAUUGGCGACGCUCAGUUGGUGCAUCCCAGCCUCCUCGGUCCCUCCCGGCAUCGCCGCGGCCGACU